GACGAACGCUGGCGGCGUGCUUAACACAUGCAAGUCGAACGGAAAGGCCCUGCUUUUGUGGGGUGCUCGAGUGGCGAACGGGUGAGUAACACGUGAGUAACCUGCCCUUGACUUUGGGAUAACUUCAGGAAACUGGGGCUAACACCGGCUAGGAGCUCCUGCUGCAUGGUGGGGGUUGGAAAGUUUCGGCGGUUGGGGAUGGACUCGCGGCUUAUCAGCUUGUUGGUGGGGUAGUGGCUUACCAAGGCUUUGACGGGUAGCCGGCCUGAGAGGGUGACCGGCCACAUUGGGACUGAGAUACGGCCCAGACUCCUACGGGAGGCAGCAGUGGGGAAUAUUGCACAAUGGGCGGAAGCCUGAUGCAGCAACGCCGCGUGCGGGAUGACGGCCUUCGGGUUGUAAACCGCUUUCGCCUGUGACGAAGCGUGAGUGACGGUAAUGGGUAAAGAAGCACCGGCUAACUACGUG
rnacentral:rRNA from 1 species